GCAGAGCAUCCUACGGGAGGCAGCAGUGGGGAAUAUUGCACAAUGGGCGCAAGCCUGAUGCAGCCAUGCCGCGUGUAUGAAGAAGGCCUUCGGGUUGUAAAGUACUUUCAGCAGUGAGGAAGGUGGGUAUGUUAAUAGCAUAUUCAUUUGACGUUAGCUGCAGAAGAAGCACCGGCUAACUCCGUGCCAGCAGCCGCGGUAAUACGGAGGGUGCGAGCGUUAAUCGGAAUUACUGGGCGUAAAGCGCAUGCAGGUGGUUUGUUAAGUCAGAUGUGAAAGCCCGGGGCUCAACCUCGGAAUUGCAUUUGAAACUGGCAAACUAGAGUACUGUAGAGGGGGUAGAAUUUCAGGUGUAGCGGUGAAAUGCGUAGAGAUCUGAAGGAAUACCGGUGGCGAAGGCGGCCCCCUGGACAGAUACUGACACUCAGAUGCGAAAGCGUGGGGAGCAAACAGGAUUAGAUACCCUGGUCG
rnacentral:rRNA from 1 species